rnacentral:rRNA from 1 species
UACGGAGGGUGCAAGCGUUAUCCGGAUUCACUGGGUUUAAAGGGAGCGUAGGCGGGCAGGUAAGUCAGUGGUGAAAUCUCCGGGCUUAACCCGGAAACUGCCAUUGAUACUAUCUGUCUUGAAUAUCCUGGAGGUAAGCGGAAUAUGUCAUGUAGCGGUGAAAUGCUUAGAUAUGACAGAGAACACCCAUUGCGAAGGCAGCUUACUACGGGAUGAUUGACGAUGAGGCUCGAAAGAGUGGGGAUCAAACAGG